GCAUCGAUAGCUCAGUGGCCGAGCGGUGGGACGGUGACAUAUGCGGCCCGGGUUCGAGCCCGGUCGAUGCA